UACAGAGGGGGCAAGCGUUAUUCGGAAUUAUUGGGCGUAAAGCGCGCGCAGGCGGUUUCUUAAGUCUGAUGUGAAAGCCCACGGCUCAACCGUGGAGGGUCAUUGGAAACUGGGGAACUUGAGUGCAGAAGAGAAGAGCGGAAUUCCACGUGUAGCGGUGAAAUGCGUAGAGAUGUGGAGGAACACCAGUGGCGAAGGCGGCUCUUUGGUCUGUAACUGACGCUGAGGCGCGAAAGCGUGGGGAGCAAACAGG
rnacentral:rRNA from 1 species